AGCUCCAAUAGCGUAUAUUAAAGUUGUUGCAGUUAAAAAGCUCGUAGUUGAACUUUGGGCAGUUGGCCGAACGGGGCGUCUACGGACGUUUUUCCUGUUUGGCCGUGCCUUUUUUCCUGGGCGCCCGGUGGGCAUCCGUGUCCGCCGGGGCUUUGCUCAGGACUGUUACCUUGAAAAAAUUAGAGUGUUCAAAGCAGGCGAUUUGCUUGAAUAGAUUAGCAUGGAAUAAUGAAAUAGGAUUUUGGUUCUAUUUUGUUGGUUUCUAGGACCGAAGUAAUGAUUAAUAGGGACAGUUGGGGGCAUUAGUAUUUAAUUGUCAGAGGUGAAAUUCUUGGAUUUAUGAAAGACUAACUUCUGCGAAAGCAUUUGCCAAGGAUGUUUUCA
rnacentral:rRNA from 1 species